CCUACGUGAGGCUGCAGUGGGGAAUAUUGGACAAUGGGCGAAAGCCUGAUCCAGCCAUGCCGCGUGUGUGAAGAAGGCCUUCGGGUUGUAAAGCACUUUCAGUGGGGAAGAAAGCCUUGGGGCUAAUACCCUCGAGGAAGGACAUCACCCACAGAAGAAGCACCGGCUAACUCCGUGCCAGCAGCCGCGGUAAUACGGAGGGUGCGAGCGUUAAUCGGAAUUACUGGGCGUAAAGCGCGCGUAGGCGGUCUGAUAAGCCGGUUGUGAAAGCCCCGGGCUCAACCUGGGAACGGCAUCCGGAACUGUCAGGCUAGAGGGCAGGAGAGGAAGGUAGAAUUCCCGGUGUAGCGGUGAAAUGCGUAGAGAUCGGGAGGAAUACCAGUGGCGAAGGCGGCCUUCUGGACUGACACUGACGCUGAGGUGCGAAAGCGUGGGUAGCAAACAGGAUUAGAUACCCCUGUAGUC
rnacentral:rRNA from 1 species